rnacentral:rRNA from 1 species
GAUGAACGCUGGCGGCGUGCCUAAUACAUGCAAGUCGAGCGAACAGACGAGGAGCUUGCUCCUCUGACGUUAGCGGCGGACGGGUGAGUAACACGUGGAUAACCUACCUAUAAGACUGGGAUAACUUCGGGAAACCGGAGCUAAUACCGUAUAAUAUAUUGAACCGCAGGGUUCAAUAGUGAAAUACGGUUUUGCUGUCACUUAUAGAUGGAUCCCCGCCGCAUUAGCUAGUUGGUAAGUUAACGGCUUACCAAGGCAAGGAUGCGUAGCCGACGUGAGAGGCGGGUAGGCGACCUGGGAACGGGGACACGGACAAGAGUACUACGGGAGGCGGCAGUCGGGAAUGGUACGCAAUGGGGGAAAACCUGGCGGAAUAAGGGCGCGUGAGUUGUGAAGGUCCUGGGAUCGUAAUAAUGUGUUUUUAGGGAAGAACAACUGUGUAAGUAAAUAUGCACGUCUUGACGGUAACUAAUCAGAAAGCCACGGCUAACUACGUG